rnacentral:rRNA from 1 species
AGAUUGAACGCUGGCGGCAUGCCUUACACAUGCAAGUCGAACGGCAGCACGGGGGCAACCCUGGUGGCGAGUGGCGAACGGGUGAGUAAUAUAUCGGAACGUGCCCUGGAGUGGGGGAUAACUAGUCGAAAGACUAGCUAAUACCGCAUACGAUCUACGGAUGAAAGUGGGGGAUCGCAAGACCUCAUGCUCGUGGAGCGGCCGAUAUCUGAUUAGCUAGUUGGUGGGGUAAAGCCUACCAAGGCAUCGAUCAGUAGCUGGUCUGAGAGGACGACCAGCCACACUGGGACUGAGACACGGCCCAGACUCCUACGGGAGGCAG